rnacentral:rRNA from 1 species
ACUUCGGUCAAUGGAAGCUUUGACUUAGUGGCGGACGGGUGAGUAACGCGUGAGGAACCUGCCUUUCAGAGGGGGAUAGCAGCUGGAAACGGCUGGUAAUACCGCAUAAGCGCACAGCAUCGCAUGAUGCAGUGUGAAAAACUCCGGUGGUAUAAGAUGGACCCGCGUUGGAUUAGCUAGUUGGUGAGGUAACGGCCCACCAAGGCAACGAUCCAUAGCCGACCUGAGAGGGUGACCGGCCACAUUGGGACUGAGACACGGCCCAAACUCC